rnacentral:rRNA from 1 species
AAUGGGCGAGAGCCUGAACCAGCCAUCCCGCGUGAAGGAAGAAGGCGCUAUGCGUUGUAAACUUCUUUUCCAGGGGAAGAAAACCCCCGACGUGUCGGGGCUUGCCGGUACCUUGGGAAUAAGCAUCGGCUAACUCCGUGCCAGCAGCCGCGGUAAUACGGAGGAUGCGAGCGUUAUCCGGAUUCAUUGGGUUUAAAGGGUGCGUAGGCGGACUAAUAAGUCAGUGGUGAAAACCUGCAGCUUAACUGUAGACGUGCCAUUGAUACUGUUAGUCUUGAGUAUGGUCAAGGUAGGCGGAAUGUGUAAUGUAGCGGUGAAAUGCUUAGAUAUUACACAGAACACCGAUUGCGAAGGCAGCUUGCUGGGCCAUUACUGACGCUGAUGCACGAAAGCGUGGGGAGCGAA